GCCCUCAGUCCUUACAAGCUGUCCUCUUUUUGUCAAAUGGGUUUAGGUGAGAGGCAGUUGAUCUUUUAAACAUAAUCUAACACACACAUACCCUUGCUGAGUUAGUUGAGGGCAAACUGGUCUUGCAUUUUGAAUUCAGUUUGAAGUGACUGGAUGUUAUGGAUAGAGAGGAGAAAGUGAGAAGAGAGAAAACCUGGGACAUUUUAAAAGUGGUUGAAAAAGUGGAUAGACAAAAUGGGACUGCCCCUACAAAAUCAGGACAGUGGGAGGCUAUGGGCGGCACUUGGCUGACUUCUGAUCAUUGAACAGGUCUGUACUAGCCUGCCCAUGAUUUUUUGCAUUUCCUUUCAUUAAAAGAGCAUGUGCUUUAAUCCACGAAAGGAUAAGAGCAUAGAAGUAUGUUGGAUCAGACUUUGUAGCUUUGCUUGUGUUACUCAAAAAUGUUUUCUUUUCCUGUAUUGAUUUGAGAUCAAUGCAAAGUCUCCAGAUCUCGCCUGUGCUACCUUGCUACACAAACCAAUUCCCAUCUUUCCAUACCGUUGAUCCCUCACAAAUAACACUGUAUCCUCAAUAGAUAGCCUUUCAUUUCUAAUUUCUCUAUUAACCCUUAAAGCUGCUUCUAAGGAAAGAAUAAUUCCAGAUGAACUAUUGUACAAUCCUUUUGUAGUUUGAAACAAACCCAGUGAAGACAACGGAGCCACAGAUUGAGAUAAAGAGGAGAGAGGACAAAGAGCACAAGUGCUUGGAAAUAGGCAGAAAUAACAUAUAUGGGAGACCUUGUCAAAGGCCUUACUGAAAUCAAGAUAUGCUACAUCCACAGCAUUCUCUGCUUCUACCAUGCUUGUAAGUCUAUCGAAAAAAGAGGUAAGUUUAGUCUGGCAUUACUUGUUUUUGAGAAACUCAUGUUGACUUUUACACAGCAUUCUUUUCUAAGUGAUUACAGACUACCUCCCUAAUGAUCUGCUCCAAUAUCUUUCUUGGUAAUGAUAUCAGGCUUACUAGGCAGUAAUUAUUUGGGUCCUCUUCUUUUCUUUUCUUGAAGACAGGAACAUUUGCCCUCCUCUAGUCUGCUGGAUCUUCUCCUAUUCUCAAAGAAUUCUCAAAAAAAUUGCCAGUGGUUCUGAAAUUACUUCUGUUAGUUUCUUCAAUACUCUUGGAUAUAGUUCAUCUGGUCCUGGAGACUUGAUUACUUCCUGACUAAUUUUGGGUUGAAAUUCCUUUUUCCUCAUCUGCUCCAUAUUACUCAAGUUGAACACUGAUGUCCUUUUGGGAGAAGACAGAGGCAAGAAGGUGUUGAGUA
rnacentral:lncRNA from 1 species